rnacentral:rRNA from 1 species
GACGAACGCUGGCGGCGUGCUUAACACAUGCAAGUCGAACGGAAAGGCCCUGCUUUUGUGGGGUGCUCGAGUGGCGAACGGGUGAGUAACACGUGAGUAACCUGCCCUUGACUUUGGGAUAACUUCAGGAAACUGGGGCUAAUACCGGAUAGGAGCUCCUGCUGCAUGGUGGGGGUUGGAAAGUUUCGGCGGUUGGGGAUGGACUCGUGGCUUAUCAGCUUGUUGGUGGGGUAGUGGCUUACCAAGGCUUUGACGGGUAGCCGGCCUGAGGGGGGGACCGGACCCAAUAGGGGGGGAGAGAGGCCCGGACGACCACCGGGGGGGAGGGGGGGGGAUGAUUGCAUGAAGGGGGGGAGAUGGGUGGAGAAAACCGGGGGGGGGGAGGAGGGCUUUCGGGUGGGAAGCAAAUUUCGCUUAGGAGGAAGGAUAAUGACGGUAACGGGGGAAAAAGCACCGGCUAAAUUCGGG